rnacentral:rRNA from 1 species
AUUGAACGCUGGCGGCAGGCCUAACACAUGCAAGUCGAACGAGUGGCGGACGGGUGAGUAAUGUCUGGGAAACUGCCCGAUGGAGGGGGAUAACUACUGGAAACGGUAGCUAAUACCGCAUACCAUCGGAUGUGCCCAGAUGGGAUUGGCUAGUAGGUGGGGUAACGGCUCACCUAGGCGACGAUCCCUAGCUGGUCUGAGAGGAUGACCAGACACACGGGAACUGAGAAACGGUCCAGAUUCCUACGGGAGGCAGCAGUGGGGAAUAUUGCACAAUGGGCGAAAUCCUGAUGCAGCCAUGCGGGGUGUAUGAAGAGGGCCGUCGGGUUGGAAAGUACUUUAAGCGAGGAGGCGUUACUCGCAGAGGAAGCAGCGGCUAACUCCGUGCCAGCAGCCGCGGUAAUAC